rnacentral:rRNA from 1 species
GGAGCAACGCCGCGUGAGUGAAGAAGGGUUUCGGCUCGUAAAGCUCUGUUGGUAGUGAAGAAAGAUAGAGGCAGUAACUGGCCUUUAUUUGACGGUAAUUACUUAGAAAGUCACGGCUAACUACGUGCCAGCAGCCGCGGUAAUACGUAGGUGGCAAGCGUUGUCCGGAUUUAUUGGGCGUAAAGCGAGUGCAGGCGGUUCAAUAAGUCUGAUGUGAAAGCCUUCGGCUCAACCGGAGAAUUGCAUCAGAAACUGUUGAACUUGAGUGCAGAAGAGGAGAGUGGAACUCCAUGUGUAGCGGUGGAAUGCGUAGAUAUAUGGAAGAACACCAGUGGCGAAGGCGGCUCUCUGGUCUGCAACUGACGCUGGGGCUCGAAAGCAUGGGUAGCGAACAGGAUUAGAUACCCUGGUAGUCCAUGCCGUAAACGAUGAGUGCUAAGUGUUGGGAGGUUUCCGCCUCUCAGUGCUGCAGCUAACGCAUUAAGCACUCCGCCUGGGGAGUACGACCGCAAGGUUGAAACUCAAAGGAAUUGACGGGGGCCCGCACAAGCGGUGGAGCAUGU